rnacentral:rRNA from 1 species
UACGGAGGAUGCAAGCGUUAUCCGGAAUGAUUGGGCGUAAAGCGUCCGCAGGUGGCAAUGUAAGUCUGCUGUCAAAGCGUCUGGCUCAACCAGAUAAAGGCAGUGGAAACUACAUAGCUAGAGUAAGGUAGGGGUAGAGGGAAUUCCUGGUGUAGCGGUGAAAUGCGUAGAGAUCAGGAAGAACACCGGUGGCGAAAGCGCUCUGCUAGGCCGCAACUGACACUGAGGGACGAAAGCUAGGGGAGCGAACAGG